rnacentral:lncRNA from 1 species
AGAGAUUCCCUUCUGAGAGACAGAGAGAUAACACCGAAGAACGGAAGAAUUCACAGAAAAAGGCCUAUUUUCUCUCGCCAAAAGGCGUUUCUCCAAAAACUGUUUCUUCCGGCAAACAAUCUUUAUCACAGUUUCCCGGCCGGCGCUGGCUUCUCCGGCGUCGGUCGGUCUUUUGCUUUUUCCUCUAAUUUUCAUCUUUCUCUCCAGUAUAGAUCUAGUAAUUUCCAUGGCAAAAUCAAAAUCACAACUUCUCGAUGUUUGCCUUUUUUCAUUGAUGUUGGUGAUAGAUAUGAGUCUCAUGACAUCAAUUUGUUUCACGGUUUCGAUAUUUGCACCAUCUCCGACUUGGGUAGCGUCUAAACACACCCAGAUUUCUUUGGGAGUUUCGGAUCCGACUUUGACAAGCGUUGCAUCCGUUGGCUUCUAUCGUAACUGGUUUGAAGCCGUUAAUUCCAUGUCGAUUCGAAAGAAUAGUUAUGUCCUUCCAUUUGGCAGGUUUAUGUCCGGUGUUUGCCGGUGGUAUUUCC